GGAGGGUGCAAGCGUUAAUCGGAAUUACUGGGCGUAAAGCGCACGCAGGCGGUUUGUUAAGUCAGAUGUGAAAUCCCCGCGCUUAACGUGGGAACUGCAUUUGAAACUGGCAAGCUAGAGUCUUGUAGAGGGGGGUAGAAUUCCAGGUGUAGCGGUGAAAUGCGUAGAGAUCUGGAGGAAUACCGGUGGCGAAGGCGGCCCCCUGGACAAAGACUGACGCUCAGGUGCGAAAGCGUGGGGAGCAAACAGGAUUAGAUACCCUGGUAGUCCACGCUGUAAACGAUGUCGACCUUGGAGGUUGUGCCCUUGAGGCGUGGCUUCCGGAGCUAACGCGUUAAGUCGACCGCCU
rnacentral:rRNA from 1 species